rnacentral:rRNA from 1 species
UACGUAGGGCGCAAGCGUUGUCCGGAAUUAUUGGGCGUAAAGAGCUCGUAGGCGGCUUGUCACGUCGGGUGUGAAAGACCGGGGCUUAACCCCGGUUCUGCAUUCGAUACGGGCUAGCUAGAGUGUGGUAGGGGAGAUCGGAAUUCCUGGUGUAGCGGUGAAAUGCGUAGAUAUCGGGAGGAACACCAGUGGCGAAGGCGACUACCUGGCCUGUUCUUGACGCUGAGGCGCGAAAGCUAGGGGAGCAAACGGG